GAGAUAACACCAGCAUCCUUCCAGUUUACUACCGAGCAAUGGUCUUUGGCCUAUCUGUGUUGCAGAAGUACUAAUCAAGCUGUAAUGGAUGAGUGUCAAAUACCAUCUUCUCUUUUGUCUACCAAGCGGUAAAGGAUGACUGAUGGGGACAUCACCAUUUCCUAGAAAGGAGGGUAGAGAAAGAGUCCUACUUGAAUGGGGUUUUGACGUUCAAUUUGGUCCAACUGUAAGCAGUGGACUUAUUUGCAGUUUUACACACACAGGAGUAAGCUGGUUGCCUUGGCUCUGGUAUGGUUAUGUCGUCGCUGCCAAGCAUUGCAACAAUAUCAGACAUAGUGGGACGGUCUACCGCUUUCACUUGGACACACAUCAGUGCCAACGUGCGAAGUUGUCCGUGGCAUCUGCAAUUUGUGAGAAAUCAUACAAGGCGAACUCAGAACCGGUAUCUUCCAUCUUCCAAAGCCUCAGGAUUUCAUCUAUGUUCUUGGGCUGCUCCGUGGAGUUUAUUUUCCCUGAAUGUACAUCUCUCCAUCAGUUUUACAGGAAACUGGAUUAACUGGUAGUGGUCUAGCUGCCACUAUCAUCAUUAAAGCAUGUAACAUUAUUGAAUGGCUUACCUUUUUUUCUUCGCCUUAUGAUGUAUAGGACACAGAAAAGCAAACGCGUACUGAGGAUCAGGAGGGAGUACACUGUACCAAUGAUCAAUAGUGCAUGGCCCUUGUGUUGCCCUGAAUAUUGUAAGAGAGAUGAUUCAUAUGUCAAAAGAAAGUAUAGGCUUACUAAGUGGAAUAUUAUCUGUUGGCCAAAAGAUCAAGGGGGACUUGGAAUUGAAGUUCUUGAUAUUAAAAAUAGGUGCCUUCUAAGUAAAUGGUUGUUUAAGCUUAUGAAUGAAGAAGGAGUGUGGCAAGAGCUUCGACAAAAUAAAUAUCUCCAUUCUAAUA